rnacentral:misc_RNA from 1 species
AAAAGAAAAGGGGUUUCUGGAAAUUCGGAGGGAAGAAGGGAAGGAAGUGGCGGAGGAAGAGGGUGUUACUUGUGCUUGAAGAGGCCGCUUACUUCGGAUUCAGGUGGUGAGUCGCAAACGAGCGAUCCUAAUAGCCCCAAUUUUACUUAUGAGAUGCUAAGGGUUUUGAUUGAGAAGAAUGAUUUUUAUUCUAAUGAAUGCAAUCCCCAUU